GGUGGCGUAGCUCAGUUGGUAGAGCAAUCGGCUCAUAUCCGGUCGGUCAGGGGUUCAAGUCCCUUCGCCACUA
rfam:Spirochaetaceae bacterium 4572_59 ex4572_59_scaffold_146, whole genome shotgun sequence.